rnacentral:lncRNA from 1 species
UCUAUUACAGGUAAUAAUACCGUGAGUAGAAAGAGCCUUUUUCAAAAGAUUUUCAAAAAAAAUUACAAUCUGAUUUGGGCAAAAAAAAUUCAAAAGAUUUUAUCAUUUUAAUACUAAUCAUGAAAAAAUUACAACAUAUUUUCAUUCUUUAAUAUAGUUUACAGUCUAGGAUUGGUUGUUAUAAAGAAACAACUGAGAGAAGAAGUUACCACCGGAUGGUUUUGGCUAGUGGUUAAACAGUGGUUUAUCAUGUUGUGCUCAACCUUGGUGAGAGGGAUGCACACAUCACGUCAUAUCAUUAAGUAUGAGCAGAGGCUAGUCUCGAGCAGUUGGAGAAUAACGGCUUUGGCCUGAACCCCUCCUAGUUAACAAGGACAAAAAAAAAACAAUUUAGGAGUCUGGUCUAAAUUUCCUAGGUUAUCAAGUAGAAUCUGAUAAAUUUACAAAACAGAUGUUACGUGAUCAAUUUUUUUUUUGGGGUCAAAUUUACGUGAUCAUUUAGGAUAAGAAAAGACAAAGUAAAUGGAUUGAAAACACCUGAAAAUGUUAAACAAAUUAAAUGGAUUGAAUAGACUUGAAAAUUACAAGCCGAUACAAAGGCUUCACAAAUUGCUAUGUAUGAAUUCUUUUUUUAUGUGACAAUUGGAACAAACUAAGGAAAAGGAUUGAAUGGAAGAUAUAAUUUAUACACCUGUAUAU